UGCAGUCGAACGAUACUCUUUAGCUUGCUAGAGAGGAAAGUGGCGCACGGGUGCGUAACGCGUAUGCAACCUACCUUAAUCAGGGGGAUAGCCCGAAGAAAUUCGGAUUAACACCGCAUAAAAUCACAGUACAGCAUUGUACAAUGAUCAAAUAUUUAUAGGAUUAAGAUGGGCAUGCGUGACAUUAGUUAGUUGGCGGGGUAACGGCCCACCAAGACCACGAUGUCUAGGGGAUCUGAGAGGAUGACCCCCCACACUGGUACUGAGACACGGACCAGACUCCUACGGGAGGCAGCAGUAAGGAAUAUUGGUCAAUGGAGGCAACUCUGAACCAGCCAUGCCGCGUGCAGGAAGACAGCCCUCUGGGUCGUAAACUGCUUUUAUUCGGGAAUAAACCUACUUACGUGUAAGUAGCUGAAUGUACCGAAGGAAUAAGGAUCGGCUAACUCCGUGCCAGCAGCCGCGGUAAUACGGAGGAUCCAAGCGUUAUCCGGAUUUAUUGGGUUUAAAGGGUGCGUAGGCGGCUUUUUAAGUCAGGGGUGAAAGACGGUGGCUCAACCAUCGCAGUGCCCUUGAUACUGAAGAGCUUGAAUGAACUAGAGGUAGGCGGAAUGUGACAAGUAGCGGUGAAAUGCAUAGAUAUGUCACAGAACACCGAUUGCGAAGGCAGCUUACUAUGGUUAAAUUGACGCUGAGGCACGAAAGCGUGGGGAUCAAACAGGAUUAGAUACCCUGGUAGUCCACGCCCUAAACGAUGAAUACUCGCUGUUAGCGAUACACAGUUAGCGGCUAAGCGAAAGCGUUAAGUAUUCCACCUGGGGGAGUACGGUCGCAAGAUUGAAACUCAAAGGAAUUGACGGGGGGCCCGCACAAGCGGAGGAGCAUGUGGGUUUAAUUCGAUGAUACGCCGAGGAACCUUACCCGGGC
rnacentral:rRNA from 1 species